rnacentral:rRNA from 1 species
UACGAAGGGGGCUAGCGUUGCUCGGAAUUACUGGGCGUAAAGCGCACGUAGGCGGCUCUUUAAGUCGGAGGUGAAAUCCUGGAGCUCAACUCCAGAACUGCCUUCGAUACUGUAGAGCUUGAGUUCGGGAGAGGUGAGUGGAACUGCGAGUGUGGAGGUGAAAUUCGUAGAUAUUCGCAAGAACACCAGUGGCGAAGGCGGCUCACUGGCCCGAUACUGACGCUGAGGUGCGAAAGCGUGGGGAGCAAACAGG